GGACUUUGGGAGGAGACAGACUGUAAUCUCACCCUUAAUCCAUUUUAAUCAACAAUAACACACUAGCUCCAGUCCCAGGGCGAGGCCUCCGAGCCGUUUCUGAGCCCCAGAUUUACAUCUCAGUGAGGCAAGGGUGAAAUAUGGCUUUGAUUUAUUCAGGUUUUAUUUGGCACAAAUUGUCUGAGUUACAGAUCACAUGGCUCGGCCCUUUUUCCCCAGGCGUUAAUAGAAAGUGCUUCUGAGCUGUGCUUAAUUGCAAAAGAAAGUUGAUGUUACAGGAGCAAGUCUGCAGGUCUCUACAGUUUAUGUUUUUUCAACUUUUUCUAAAAUAACAGAAGAAAUAAAUUACUCUGGAGAACUUUAACGGGCCGAGACUCCAGACUUCAGUGAACAGGUAUUAGGGAAUUCAGGGGAAAAGGCUGAGCUGAGGUUUCAGGGAAACCUGAGGUUGUCGUUGGAAGAUUAAUGCAGAAUUAACUCUGUCAACUUGGUGAAAUUGCCAAUAUUAAUUAGUUAAACAAAUUUAAACCCAAUGAACGUCCAUGAACUUGACACCGAAUAAUUGUUUUGCUUUUAUAUCAUUUUACUGCAAUUCAGUGAAUCGAUUAAUCUUGAUUUAAUGUCAGAUUACAUCAAGAUAAUGAGUUUUUAAAUAUGUGGAACAGUCUGUAGCUGAUGAGGGAAUAGGAGGUGCAUUUACUCCUGUCUUUACUUCAUAUUUCAAUUGGUUGAUAAUUGAUAAUUAUAACCUUUACAUGCAAAAAAGCCAGUUAAUAACAUGCAAGAUUUUAGCAGUCAGUGCACUUCACAUAUCUGCAAAAUACACAGGAGUAGGUGAGUCUUAGACAAUGUGUUGAAACACAAAAACAGGUAAAUUCUGUUACAUUAGAAAUGUAAAUUACUGUGAAAUUUGUGAUUAAAAAACACUUUUUAUUUUGGUUUUGUCAUCCCAAAAGUGAGUUUAGGCCUUUACACCAGUGUAAAGACCAGCCAUCAAUGUUAGUGGGCAUUGACGGCUGGUAUAUGAUGAAGUUUUAGCUUUAAUUGCUCCCCAAAAGGUCUAAACUACUAUAAAUGUAAAUGUAAAAUACAGAAAGAGAUAUGAUCUAGUGUGUAACCACCUAUUAUCUGAGAGAUGGCGCUCGAUGAAGAGAAAGAAACCACUCCAGUGAGGUGAGGUGACGCAGAUCAACUUUUUAGUGUCACUUUUUUGACGCUUUUGUCUUAAUUGGGUUAUGAACAUGUGAUUAAUGAAAAAGUGGUUUAAUAUUAAAUAAAAAAAAAACAAGUAAAGAUCUGGUUCGACUGAAAAGACUCUACAUCAGCGCUGUAAUGGAGUUUUGCCAUCACCACGUCUUUGUACUUACUCAGCGCACACCCAAGGGAAGUAAUAUUGGUGUCCCAGUGAUUACUCAUGCUAUUAUAUUGUUGCAGAACGAGAGGCACAUCUUUUUACAGACAACAGGAACUCUACAUACAGAGACGCUCAAACAUGAACAUACAUAUUGUGGCCAAUACUGAUACCCCCAUUUUACCUAACCUUUACCUCAACGCUCAUCUCUACCACACUUCUAUUUACAGAAGCUAUCACAGGUUGAGCUCCAGCACAGUAUGGGAGGGUGGAGAUAACAGAUGGUACUAGAAAGAGCUACACAGCUGCAGUGAAACUGGAUGUUGCUGAACGUGAUGAAAGUCUUCAGGCAGGAACUCAGUUUAGACCUUCUUAUUAGGAGAUCCCCAAAACAAACAACAUAUUUUAUACUGGUGCGACUUAUAAUCUGUUUGUACAAUAGAUAACCUACAGGAAAAACUCGCAUGUAUGCAAAUCUUGCGUAUUUACUUUUCAUUCGUGCUUUCACUGUGUGCGGUUGUUUCUAAUUUUCUUUGUCUUGUUCAUAUUGGUCUGACGAAGCUUGAGAUAGUGACUCGUCAUUCUAUAAUAAUAAUAAUAACAAUCCAUCAGAUUUCACAUAGCGCUUUAUCAGAGACCCUCAAAGCGCUUUACAUUGGAUACAUCAUUCAUUCGCUCACACAAGCACACCUUGGUGGUAAACUACCUGGGGCAGACUGACCAAAACAUGGCUGCCAGUUUGCGCCUACAGCCUCUCCAACCAUCACUACACAACACUCACAAUCAUACACCAGUGGAGGACCCACACUGGGAGCAAUGUGGGUGAAGUGUCUUGCCCAAGGACACAACGGAAAAAUCAAGAUAGGGGGGGAAUCGAACCCUAUCUGGAUGACGCUCUACCUCCAGAGCUACUGCUGCUCUAAGUAGUGCAAUUAGGAAAAAAAACUGCAGGACUAAAGAAAAACAUGAAAAUAUAUAGAUGUAUGUCAAAGAUACUUAAAUAUAGCUUUCCAUAUGUCCAAAAAACAGAAUAACUCUCGUUUUACGCUCUGUAAAGAGGAGUAAUUUUCCCCUUCAGUUGCGAUCAUGUCGUCGACACAAACGUCUACAGAUCAGCGCCAAAGCGAAGGCUGUGAAAGUUCUCACCUGAAUCCACUAUGAUGACCCUGCUGUAUUUUUUCUAACCAGACACAGCAGGACUCUGUCAACAGUACACAGAGUUAAUUACACUCACUGAAGUUGUAUCCUUCUCCAUUACACCUCUAUUACUGGUCCCGUCGUACUCCGACAAGCACCGUCUUUGUUUGGCGAGUCUCCUCCGAGUGACAGGAUGUGUUAAUAUCACUUGGCUGAUUGGAAGCGAUAAGUCUCGCACACUUCUUGUGCAUUCACUCCCAGUGUCCAGCAGAACGCUCUGCCUGCAUCCAAAUCUCUCGGCUGACUCUGAAUCGGCCUCUUUGUCCCGUCCCCGCAGAUCCAAAUCAUCAAGGCCAAAGCUGUGCCCUUGUGCGCUGUCGCCAUGGGAACAGGGGACGGCGGUUGCCAGCAGGUUGGCUGUUUAUUUUGGCCGGGAAUCAAAGCACGAGUGGAGGUGGGGAUGCAUGGGGUAGAAUGGGAGUUGAUGUGGCGUGACGUGGGAUGGUAGAGGUGAUACAGCGUCUUAAAGUACGUGUGGUGCCUCUAAACAGGAAGCCACAGUACACUGGUCCUCCCUGAGGGAAGGGGUCAGGUUUUCCUGACCACCUCUGCCCUGUCAUCAACUUGGCAUGCUCCUCCUGAUCCUGACAAGAUCUGCAUGUGUCACGAGCGACAACAUGACCCCACCCCGUGCAAACCUCUCCGUACCCGCUCACUCAGUUUGUUUGCUUUACGGAUGACUCCCUGAAAACAGAUAUGACGGGCUCUAAAUGCGACAAUAUCAGCAAGUCCCGAAAAUCAGUGAGGCUACUGUUCACCUCCCGUCGGCGUAACAGAUUGUGUUACAUGAUGAAGUUAUGCUUCUGCUGCAGGUGACAGGUAUACUUUUGUUAUCAUAGAGAAGGCCAAUCACUGUUGGAGCAGCUUAAAGCAUACAAAGGAUCAUAUGCCAUAAAACCGCACUGUUCCUUUAAUUCCCAUCAGGGUAACCGAAUGACUUUUUUCACGUGCCCAUUCAUCAGGUUUAGAAUUUGAAUUUCUAUUUAUCGUCUCCUCUGUUAUAUAAAUAAAGUUAUCUCGGUUUGUAAUUUUUGUGGGCGCAAAAUUCAUACUCCAUGGACAAGGCCAUUUAUCACUGUCAGAGCCAAGACUCACUUAAAGCCCCUUCACCUCAAAAAAAGUGCUGUUUUGACAGGCGUUCUGGAGGCAGACACAGCAGAGGCCGGGACAGGCUCUGUAGGGGGUCUUCUGGCUUACAAGGUUUCUGACGUCCCCGGGCCCUCUCACAUUCAGGUGUAAAACCCCUGGAGCAGCACAGCCAGGCUAACAUUGCUUGGGACUUGCAGCGCCACAGUGUCUGCUGCAGCCCCCGAGUCUCCCCGCCCGCUACCAAAAUAGAAGCAACCUCACACCAAGACAUGGCUUCACAUCUAGCAUAUAAAAAUCUGAAUAUUCAAAGGAUUUGCAACUCAUCCAUCAUAUUUCAGAGCUGAAACCAACAUGAGAUGGCUGCUUUGCAGUCGUAUUACCCAUGAUUUUAGUGUUUUUCUAUUUGGAUGUUGGGUGGCAAAUUAAACACACUGGGCAAACUCAUUACACAAUCCCUGUGGUCAGUGUGUCAUGUACAACAGCACCUUUAAAAAAAAAAGUUUGAACACUGCGUGAAAGGCUGAUGAAACUCUCUAUAUAAUCAGAAAUAGUGCAAACAAAAGGAAUUGAAUGUUAAAAUGAAAACAAAAAAUAGUAAUAAUGCUAAUCUUGUAUCUAAUGCCAAAAAAAGUUGUGACAUGUUAAAAGACACCCUAGAGAAACAUCUACCAAACAUUAAUUCAUGAUUUACAGUAGGUUAGUUACAGGACUUGGUAUGAAGUGUCUCUCCAGAGAGGCUGAGUUUAUGAGUUAAAGACAGGAAGUGGUUCAGGACUCUGCGAGAGACAAAUAGUUCCUCGGUGUAAGUUCAUAAUACCAUCAAAAGAUUGAAGAAAUCUGUGACCCAAAAAUGAUCUUAAUACUACAGAGUUGUUAUUUUCAGGUUCUCAGAUGGCAUUUCAUUAAAAAACAAAAACAGACAUGACUCUGUAGUGGAAAUCACUGCAUGGGCUCAAAAUCAUGUCAAAAAUCUGUAAAUACAGUUUGUAGGAACAUCCUGAAAAGAACAUGGUCCAGAUUUACUGGUUACGUCUUUGGGUCUGAGACCCUUUAAGACUGAGCUAAAGUGAGAAACUGUCCCAUGGUCUGACCUUUUAAAAUUGGCCUUUAUUUUGGAAACCAUGGAUGGUGUGUCCUCUGCUCUAAAGAGACCACCUGGUUUGCCACUUAGGUACGGCUCGAAAGCCAACAUCUCGUUUUCUGCUCAUUUUACAGCAUCAUGGCUCUGUAGAAGAGUUGAGUCUUGUCAUCUUUUAAAAGUAUUGGGAAAAUCAUGCCAUUAGAAUUACGUCAAAGGAGACCCCAAACUGUUGAGCAGCUAAAAUCCUAUAUUACCGUAUUUUUCGGACUAUAAGGCGCACUUACAAUCCUUAAAUUUUCUCCAAAAUUCUAAGUGUGUCUCAUAAUCUAGUGCGCCUUAUGUAUGAUUGCUUGUUGUGUUUACUGACUGAUUUUAUGUGGUACAAAAAAAAUGUGUAUGAAAAGUACGACUUCUGUAAGCAACAAAGCCGCUCCGCUCAUGGAUAUUCUGAGAAUUACGGUAACUGUUGUCUGAGCUUUCGUGAAAGCUGGAAUCACCACUGAACAGCCAAGUACCGGUACCGGCAACAAGACUGACUUAGAUAAUGAUGAGAGGGAUCUGGGCAUGCUUGGUGCCGAAAUCGCACAGCUGUUUAAGACAAUGAAGAUAAUGAAUUUGUGGAAGAGGAAUGAAUUAAUAAGUGAGCAUAUUUUUCUGUACUGGUAUUUGUUGUUACAACUGAGUUAAAUAGUUUGAUUUACUGGAUUGUUUUGCUUAAUGCCCCAUACAAUCUGGUACGCCUCAUGUGUGAACAUAGACAUGUUAAUUCAUAGUGCGCCGUAUAAUCCGAUGCGCUUAUGGCCUGAAAAAAAAUAGUAAAUUAGGUGAAAAUGGGACAAGAACUAACUUCUAAGACUCUGGAAACUUGUCUUCUUGGUCUAAGAGAGAUUAUCAGAGUAGUGUUAAAAAGGGGCUGAUGCAGCACAUUAAAUGUCAUAUGCUGUUUUGUCAACAUCUUUUAAAAAACUGAAGCGCAGGUGGGGCGCUUCCAGGCCUGAUAUCCCAGAUGAUGAACAGACGAUUCCCCGUGCGACUCACCUCUGUUUCCUGUUCAGCAGCAUGGCGGAUAUCAAAACCACACAUGUUCCUUCAGUGCUCCAGAUUCCCUGUCUGAGAAUGACCCCCUGAGGGUCAAACUUUGGCUUCUUCCUCCUCUUCCUGCUAUUUGCGGGUCAAAGGCGACGGCCUGCUGGCGAGCCGUUUCCCACCACAGCUCUACGGGAGUCGCACUAAAAACCUCCGCGAGACAGCAGCGGUGACUUUUGACUGUUAGAAGACACCAAAGCAGAUAAAAUCUUGUGAGUGUGACUUAAUGCAAAGCUUUUGUUUGAACAAGAAGAAGAAGAAGAGAUUGAGGAAGAUCAUUUCUAACCCCAGACAGAGAAACCAGAUGGAGGGGAAUCGGUCUCAUCGGGGCCUCAUGCGUAGUUAUGGCACGCAAAAGAGAGAGAGAAUACAGCGCAUGAUUGUCGUCUUGGCGAUAUAAGAUAUGUAAGAGAACAACACCCUUCCUCAAAUGGCUUGAAUAGAUUGUUUGACAGACGAAAUCAAUCGAAAAUCAAGCCUCCCUUCAGAAUAUUUUGAAUUUGACUGGAUCUCUGAGCAUUUUUCUUCGGCCUCAUUAGUGUCAGGACCGAUUUCCCCUCCGAUAUUGAGCGCUGGUCUCCUUGAGGGACCCCUGUACCAUGGAAGCGGAUCUGUCGAGUGGAGUGAUGAUGAUGGGAGCCUUUUGACACAUGUGUACUUUUACAGUGAGCGGCCAUGCAUAAUGCAUGCGGCUUUAACCAAACAUCCAGCGCCCCGACUCUUCUGGGGUGUUAUCUGGUGUGUGACUCUGGCUCUCUUCCUGAGUGGGAUGGUGUAUCAAAUUCCUGGAGGCCCUGCUUCCUCCAGUGUACACAUGUAAACACUCACUGGCUGCAAAGCAUGAGCACACAAACAGACAUGCAGAAUUACGCACCAUAUGUCGUAUUGCAACACCCACCGGACUUGUGCGUGUUAACUUGUUCUUUUUGUACCCAAAAUUUGAUUGCAAGACAUCAGUUUUGGUAAGCCAAGAAAUCAGCUGGUUUUGAGAUUGCAUUUUCUAUCAAAGCGGACAAAACUUAAGCUCCGCUACAUGGAAAAGAUGUCCACAAAUAGAUUAGGGAUUUAGAGUCUGACAAGGUUCUUUCUUCUGGAUAACACACAGCCAUGUCUGGCCUCUCCCCAGAGCCCCUGAGGAGGCUGCGUGGGCUAACUCCAAGACAUCUGGCGUGACCGAGUGUGUCUGCACAGUCAGGUCAGGUUUGCAGACACAAAAACAGAGAUAAUAGCUUUAACCAUCAGAGCCAGUGUUUAACCGUGCUGUUUUGUUGUCAUUUCCCAUGAAAAGAUUCAGCGCCUAGUGCAUCCACGAGCGGACAGAACACAGAUGUUAUGCAAUAACCGAAGCAGCUGGGGG